GGGUCCGUGGCUCAGCUUGGGCGCCUUUUUGCACACGUCCGUGCAAAAACCCGCGGGAAUGCACGGAACAAAGUUCCGGCACAUUGGGAGAGCACUCCCGAAUGAAAUCCGCUCCCGCAAGGCGGGGUAAAUAGAGCGCUUGGCUUCGAACCAAGAUGUCGAGGGUUCGAAUUAGAAACGCCGGGCGUUUCAUGAACGUCCCUCCGGGCCCGCCA
rnacentral:tRNA from 1 species